CCUACGGGAGGCAGCAGUGAGGAAUAUUGGUCAAUGGUCGGGAGACUGAACCAGCCAAGCCGCGUGAGGGAUGAAGGUACAGAGUAUCGUAAACCUCUUUUGUCAGGGAACAAAGGCGGGGACGUGUCCCCGGAUGAGUGUACCUGAAGAAAAAGCAUCGGCUAACUCCGUGCCAGCAGCCGCGGUAAUAGGGAGGAUGCGAGCGUUAUCCGGAUUUAUGGGGUUUAAAGGGUGCGCAGGCGGUCUGUUAAGUCAGCGGUCAAAGCCCGGGGCUCAACCCCGGCCCGCCGUUGAAACUGGCAGUCUCGAGUUGGAGAGAAGUAUGCGGAAUGCGCGGUGUAGCGGUGAAAUGCAUAGAUAUCGCGCAGAACUCCGAUUGCGAAGGCAGCAUGCCGGCUCCACACUGACGCUGAGGCACGAAAGCGUGGGUAUCGAACAGGAUUAGAUACCCGGGUAGUC
rnacentral:rRNA from 1 species